rnacentral:rRNA from 1 species
UACGUAGGGGGCAAGCGUUGUCCGGAUUUAUUGGGCGUAAAGAGCGUGUAGGCGGCUUCACAGGUCCGCUGUGAAAACUCGAGGCUCAACCUCGAGCUGUCGGUGGAAACCGUGUGGCUAGAGUCCGGAAGAGGAGAGUGGAAUUCCCGGUGUAGCGGUGAAAUGCGCAGAUAUCGGGAAGAACACCCGUGGCGAAGGCGGCUCUCUGGGGACGGUACUGGACGCUGAGACGCGAAAGCGUGGGGGAGCGAACAGG